GUCUUACGAUGAUAGCCAGCUUCGGUGGUGGAUUAGUGGCGAACGGGUGAGUAACACGUGGGCAAUCUGCCCUGCGCUCUGGGACAAGCCCUGGAAACGGGGUCUAAUACCGGAUAUGAUCAUCGGCCGCAUGGUCUGGUGGUGGAAAGCUCCGGCGGUGCAGGAUGAGCCCGCGGCCUAUCAGCUUGUUGGUGGGGUGAUGGCCUACCAAGGCGACGACGGGUAGCCGGCCUGAGAGGGCGACCGGCCACACUGGGACUGAGACACGGCCCAGACUCCUACGGGAGGCAGCAGUGGGGAAUAUUGCACAAUGGGCGCAAGCCUGAUGCAGCGACGCCGCGUGAGGGAUGACGGCCUUCGGGUUGUAAACCUCUUUCAGCAGGGAAGAAGCUUUCGGGUGACGGUACCUGCGGAAAAAACACCGGCUAACUACGUGCCACCAGCCGCGGUAAUACGUAGGGUGCGAGCGUUGUCCGGAAUUAUUGGGCGUAAAGAGCUCGUAGGCGGCGUGUCACGUCGGAUGUGAAAGCCCGGGGCUUUACCCUGGGUCUGCAUUCUAUACGGGCAGGCUAUAGUUCGGUAGGGGAGAUCGGAAUUCCUGGUGUAGCGGUGAAAUGCGCACAUAUCACGAGGAACACCGGUGGCGAAGGCGGAUCUCUGGGCCGAUACUGACGCUGAGGAGCGAAAGCGUGUGGAGCGAACAGGAUUAGAUACCCUGUGAGUCCACGCCGUAAACGUUGUGAACUAUGUGUGUGUCACAUUCCACGUGGUCCGUGCCGCAGCUAUCGCAUUAAGUUCCCCGCCUGGGGAGUACAGCCGCAAGGCUAUAACUCUCAGGAAUUGACAGGGG
rnacentral:rRNA from 1 species